rnacentral:misc_RNA from 1 species
UGUUUUGUCUUUCUAGCAUGGAUGAGAAGAUUGCGACCAUUCAUCCACGACUUGGAGGAGGACCUGCGCGCAACAAUGUUGUUUGUCGUUACUGGAUGAUGGGAAAGUGUAAUAGGAACCCCUGUAGGUUCAUGCACAGAGAAUUGCCACCUCCUAAUGUUUAUCGAAGAACAUCUGAGCAACCCAAUCUUUUACGGAAGGAACAAUCGAUUAGGAGCCCUAGCCAUGGCCUCAAAAAUUCAUUGGCAUUGAGUGAUGGAUCUGAAGUUAAA